AGAACAGAACACAACCGCUCUGUGAAUAACACCAACUGACCAACAGCAAACACAGUCAAGUCCAUGGGCACCAUCACAUUCAGAAGAUGCCCAGAUGUGGACCGCAGCAAUGCAAUGCAGCUAUCUCCCCAUUCUCUUGUUGGUGCUAGUUCUGCCCAUCAGCAAGAGAUACUAUGUUAGGGCUGCUGUCAAUGCCACCGUUGACUCCAAAGGCAAUCCAACUCAAACUGUAACCAAGGACGAUGGCUUGUACGGCUACAGUUCACCAGAAUUGAAGCGGAAAGGAAUCGCGAUUGCACCUGCACCGAAUCAUGGAGUGGUGGAGUGCCAGGGCUGUGACCCCGACACGCGCUCAGUGGUUCCCCCCGGACAGGACACUGGGUGGCCCUGCUGCAGCGCGGCAACUGCACCUUCAACAGCUCCAAGGAGGCCACCGUCCUAAUGGCCCAUGAAGGUCUCCAAAGUAACCCUCACUUCUGUAGUCCUGUAAUGUGUCUUUAAGGGCACCUACUAGAUCCACAGCCCUUGCUAAGUCAAGAGAGCUUGAUUGGAGCAUGUCAGAAAGACAUUUGGCAUCAUCAAGCACUUUACAAAAGGUAACCAAAAGCCCUAUGAAAUGUAAAUCUAUCUGAGAAAGAAGGCCCCUUGCUGCCACUGAUCUAUCACCACUAUUUUCAAGUGUGAUAACUGCUGGAAGCAUGUCCCUCAGAUUACGGCAUUCCAUGUAUCUGCAUGCCCACCUUACAUCCGUAAGUCUCUGUAGUUCCCUGGUCUGCUGCUGUGGAUACAGCUCUUUCUGAACUGCAAGCCAAUUGAGAUGAACAUACGAGCCAGAUACAAAGUUAUAAAGCUUCUGCAGGAGAGCAAAAAAAUGAACUGCCUCAGGCACUGAUUUUACAGCAUCGACAAGAACCAAAUUCAAACAAUGUGCACUACAGUGCACAUAAAAUGCUAAUCUUGCACUGUUUUUAAUCCGUGCAGACACAUCAGAAUGCUUUCUGCUCAUGACAAGAUUAUUUCUGUAGUCCAGACCAUGUUUUUCAAGGCAAUCAAUUAUCAUUUUUGUGAGACCUGCUGCAUCUCAGCUUUCAGCUGACUGAAAGUGUAAAAAGCUUUCGUGGAUGGCCCCAUUGUAAUAGUACCUCACAACUAAAGACAUUUGUUAUUUUUCUUUAAAUCUUUGGUUUCAUCUGCAAUUACACUAAAAACUUCACUUUCUUUUACUACUCUUAUUAGUUCACUUUGUACCUUCUCAGCUCAGCCCUCAAGAACUUCCUUCUGGAUUUAGUGGCUUGUGUACUUAGCAUUACCACAUGCAUUCAUCCUAUUCUCUAUGAGAGGGUCAUGCUUUGCUAUUUCUUCUAAGAUUGUCAAUAAAUUACCCUUGUUGUGAGAGUCAUCAGACUCUCGAUGA